AAGCACAGCUGAGAGUACUCAUAUGAAGUGUAAUUCUGUUCCAUGUGUGGUACAGGGAAUGGAUUCUCUGUUAUCAUAUUAAGACAUGAACAAACAUUCAAGAUUCUUAGUAUCAAAGGAUCAGUAUAACAGGUGGCUUGAUCUGGAUUUGAACUAGAGAGAAAGUGUAGGGAACACAAGGAAGAACUUUGUUGGAACUGACCUGAAGACCUGUGUGAAGCUGAGACCACUUCAAAUGAAAGAAACAGAAGGAAAAUCAAUUUAAAUGUGCAAGUAAAGGUUAACUUGUGUACAAAGAAGCUCACUGUUCUUCCAAAGGCUGAACCUUUAACUAUGGUCACAUGAUAUAAAGUGUAUCAUGACUGUAACUAUUACUUAACAAAGAACCUUGUGUCUUCUAACAGCUCUUAAGUUUUGAGUGUUACCACUGUUUCUUCAGUUCAGAUCUGCCUCUCUAAAAAGCCAUGUUUUAUCCUUAGUUUGGAGAACAGAGCACAUUAAUGUCUUCUGACUGUUCAGGUUUACCAGGACAAUGUGUACUCUGAAGGAUGCCAGUUCCAUUCUUUCAAAAAGAUUCUUUAUGAGGUGGGACCUGAGUACUAAAACAAUGUUGAGCUGGCCUCUUUUCACUCCACCUCUAAGGGAUACAUGGGCAGGAGAAGGAGACUGUUUUGAACAAUCCUGCCAAAAAAGCCAAACUAACAGAAGACAUGUUUAACAAGAUACUAGGCAUUCACUGCAGUCCCCUUCAAGGAGCUAUGUAUGCUGUCCCACAGAUCUUUAUUCCUUCCAAAGCCAUUGAGGAAGCAAAGGCUCAUAAAGUGGCACCUAAUAUGUUCUAUUGCAUGAAACUUCUGGAAGAGACUGGAGUAUGUGUUGUACCUGGAAGUGGAUUUGGCCAAAGAGAAGGAACCCACCAUUUCAGAAUGACCAUUCUUUCUCCAGUAGAGAAGCUGAAGAUCCUACUGGAGAAAGUGAAAGACUUCUACAUAAAGUUUCUUGAAAAACAUGAAACUACUGUGGCUUUUUCCCCCUCAUCCCCUCCCCUUCAAAGCAAAUGAAGGCAAUGAACAAAGAUGUGCUGAGAAUGUGCUGUUCAUCUAAUUUAACUAAAUUCAAACCAGAUAGAACCAGUCUCAGAUACUGCUACAACUUACUGGACUAUUAAAAAGUUAAUGUCUUGUAUAGAAGACAUUGUUACACCAACUUUUUUUUUUUUUUAAGGGGAAGAAUGUGAAGAAAGUGGUGAGAAGAAAGACUCAAUAAAUGGUUUUGUGCCUUGAUUGGAAGUUACAUGGUGGACUUUUGACUCAAUAGGUUGGGAAAGGGAAUUGCUCAUUAACAUUAUUACUGUUAUGUGGGGUUUUUUUACCAAAUGGAAAUGCCAAGAUAAAUUGUUUAGCUAGGGAUAUGUUUCCCAUCCUAAAAUUCUACUAAACAAAAACUCAAGCCCCUACAUUAUAGGUAUUGUUUGGUUUAAUUUUUAUUGUUGUUAAGUGUGAAGUCUUCAAAUCUGAUUAAGGAUGUAGGUACAUCAUGCUUAUUUAAAAAUCUUUGGCACAUGUGUGCAGAUACCUCUGAAAUUCUGCUAGAAAGAAAUCCUGCCAUCACAGCAUAAUCAGGAUGGAAUAUACAGUUUUGACUAGAGGAGUGAAUACAAUGUCUGCUCGAACCCUAUUUUUAUGAAACUGAAACAUAAUGAGGAAUAUAAUCUUCUUCUUCAUGUGCUGUUCAGCACAAAAUCCCAGCACAAGAGCGCUGAACAUUUCCUCUCAUAACAACUCCAUGAGCCUCCUGUUAACUCACUUCUUUUAUACACAUGGAACAUAGUAAGGUACUGUUUCAAAGCAGAUGUGAGCACAGUCAGUCCUUUCAGGUGGGCUGAAACAUAACACACUUCCAGAACCACUCUGUCUAUGGAGAACAUUUGUUUGGAAUCACAUGAUGGAGACCCACGGUGUGGCCAAAAUCCAGCUUGAACUGGCAAAGACUAACACAUGUUGUUACCAGGGGAAAUACUGGGGGGGGAUUUCUAAUGAAGGAAAAGGUCUUUAAAGGAAAAUGUCUUGAACCAAGCAUAAAGAGAAUGAUAGUACAGCUGACACUUAAAUCUUCCACAGUCAUGCCACGAGCUGAAUGACCCUGAGUGCUUAUUAAAGCCUGGCUCAACAAGGUUGGUAUCUAGGAGUACAGCUGUAUGACUCCACUAAUCUAUGCCAGUUUCCCUGCAAAACAAAGAACAGCUUCUGUUUCUCUAGAGCUGGAAGCUGGACACCUCCUGCUAGCUCUGAUAAAGGCUUAAGGAACAGAGCUUCCAGUAUUCAGAUGUGAAAGUAUUAGCAUUUGUCAGGCUUUGCCUCAGCAUUUACAGAGUUUAUUCAUUAAGAUAUCACGUUUAAUCCAGUCAUUAAAUUUAAGUUAUUAUUUAGAAGUAAACUCAUUUUCAUGUCUAUUAGCACUUUGUUAGGCUGCCUCUGUAGCUGGUUCAACAUCCUCUGCUGGUCCAAGUUACUAAAGCCAAGGGCUACAGAAUCACCAUAUGGAUAAACCUGUGCCAAUUUAUUAUGGGUGGAAGACAAGAGGUAUUGCCAAUAACUGUCCUUGCAAGAGCAGCUACCAGUAUGACACAGUGUCAGCAGUGGGUGUACUUCUCACAGUUCCUUACUGAAGUCUGUGAGAAGAAUUUAGUCCCUGUCAAUCACCUGCCAGUGGUCCCAGGUUCAUGGAUAGAAAUGGCACACUGCUACAGAGAGUGACUGUGGAGGCCUGGAGAAAAAUCAUCCACUUAUCCUUGGAGAAAUGCACCUGUGGGAGGACAGCAGACUGAGAAUAUUUAUGCUGCUACUAUCCAUUGAUAAAUACAACCUUUUAUCUGUUGGCAUCCUUAAUGUGCACUAAUGAAACAAAUCCAGAAAGCAAAACUGUAGCAGGAGAUCAGAAUAUUGAUGUAAAAAUAAGACAAACAGCACUUUCCCAUUCUAGGAAUGUGUCCAAAUGAGAUCUGGCUUUGGACUUGUAAAGCAGCGUAGACUGAAAAUAAGAUCUAACGAUGGGAGUUAGGAUUUUUUUAAUAUAUUUUUGUAACUACAGCUUUUUUAUGAGGUAGUAUUUGUAAUCUAAUAAGUCAGUAGAUUUUAUAUUUGCCUUGCAUUUGCACCUGAUACUUCUGGAAAAAAAUGUAAAUGUUUACAAGUUUCUAAUUUACAUAUAUUUAUACAUUAUUUAAGAUAAUUUACAGGUGUGAAAGGCUUUUUGUUUUGUUGAGACAGCAAUUCUUAGACUUUUAAAUCAAAAUAUAAUGACAUAAACUGAGUUUUUUCUAAACAUUCUAUUAAGGGGCCUUUUAUGUCUGUGACAUUAUAAGGGAUAACAAUUUUUUCUUGGUGCGUCUCAUGUGGAGGGGUGGUGAUUUCUACUGUCCAUCCACAAUAUUUAUAUGUAUUAUGAUAAGGUUAAUGUGCAUUUUUGUGGAACAAUCCUGUAAAGCUAAGAAAAGAGGCUUUAUUUUCCAUGUCUUUGAAAUCUUUAAUUAAUGACAGACAAUCCUUACUUUCAAAUGCAUGCUUCUAGGUUUGAUCUUCCUACAGGUGCUCCUUAUAACAGUACUUCAGAUGUAUGAGACUUCCAAAUAAUAAAGCA